rnacentral:rRNA from 1 species
UGCCUCUUGAUUUAUUAAAUAAAAGGUAACGCCUGCCCGGUGAUUCACGAAUUAAACGGCUGCGGUAUACCUGACCGUGCAAAGGUAGCAUAUAAUAUGCCCUUUAAUUGGGGGCUGGUAUGAAUGGACCAACGAGGGCCAAGCUGUCUCUAAAGCAUAAACUAAAAUUAACCUUCAGGUGAAGAGGCCUGAAUAAAAUUAAAAGACAAAAAGACCCUAUAGAGCUUCACUAACAGAAAAUCAGCAGAGCGCCUAAACCAUGAGCGCACUGCCACAAAAUCACUAGUUCAACUGGGGCGGUUGAAGAGCAAUUAACCCUCUUCUCAAAAAAAAGGUUACUAACCCUUAAAAUGAUCCAGUAAAGGUAAAAGGAUAAGCUACCUUAGGGAUAACAGACUAAUCUAUCCUAAGAGUACUAAUCGAAGGAAAGGGUUGGCACCUCGAUGUUGGCUUAGAGUACCCAAGGGGUUGCAGGAGCUCCUAAAGGUUGGUUUGUUCAACCAUUAAAACUCU